rnacentral:rRNA from 1 species
GACGGGGGGUCCUAGCGUUGUUCGGAAUCAUUGGGCGUAAAGCGUGUGCAGGUGGCUUUGUAAGUUAGAUGUGAAAGCCCCGGGCUUAACUCGGGAAGUGCAUUUAAAACUACAAAACUUGAGUAUGGAAGAGGGUCGUGGAAUUCCUGGUGUAGUGGUGAAAUACGUAGAUAUCAGGAGGAACACCGGCGGCGAAGGCGGCGACCUGGUCCUAUACUGACACUCAUACACGAAAGCGUGGGGAUCAAACAGG